rnacentral:tRNA from 1 species
GCGGCUGUGGCGGAAUGGCAGACGCGCUACUUUGAGGGGGUAGUGAUCUUACGAUCGUGCGAGUUCAAGUCUCGCCAGCCGCA